GAGAGGGCUUCUCACCCGGAUUAAAUUUUUCCACAGCUAGUGUGACAUCUGCUCAUCCCUGAGCUUGCCUUAGGAUGGAUCUUGCUGACACAGCAGCAUAACACUGAACUGUUUGGCAUUAUCAGUCUGCUGAGGUCCCCACAACAUCGGCUGUGUCAGAGCACUUGAAUUCAUGAAGAAGCCGACUUCAUCUGUGACUGAAAAUACCAGAUCUCUCCAUUUACUGCUGUUCCCCAAGCAUCCAUCUCUAAAUUCACAGCUUUAACCUCUCAGCACCUACAACUGUGAGAACAGAGGUGAGGAUGGAGGAGCCCACGGGAGCUGCGAGGCUGCCAGAGAGGCUGCAGAAGGGGCUGCAGCGGGAUAGGAAGGAAGCUUCUGAGUGCCGAAUGCUGCAUCUAAACAUGUGACUAAUUACACCAGAGCCCAGCAGUUCUGUGGCUGGUAGGA
rnacentral:lncRNA from 1 species